GAUGAACGCUGGCGGCGUGCCUAAUACAUGCAAGUCGAGCGAACAGAUAAGGAGCUUGCUCCUUUGACGUUAGCGGCGGACGGGUGAGUAACACGUGGGUAACCUACCUAUAAGACUGGAAUAACUCCGGGAAACCGGGGCUAAUGCCGGAUAACAUUUAGAACCGCAUGGUUCUAAAGUAAAAGAUGGUUUUGCUAUCACUUAUAGAUGGACCCGCGCCGUAUUAGCUAGUUGGUAAGGUAACGGCUUACCAAGGCAACGAUACGUAGCCGACCUGAGAGGGUGAUCGGCCACACUGGAACUGAGACACGGUCCAGACUCCUACGGGAGGCAGCAGUAGGGAAUCUUCCGCAAUGGGCGAAAGCCUGACGGAGCAACGCCGCGUGAGUGAUGAAGGUCUUCGGAUCGUAAAACUCUGUUAUUAGGGAAGAACAAAUGUGUAAGUAACUGUGCACGUCUUGACGGUACCUAAUCAGAAAGCCACGGCUAACUACGUGCCAGCAGCCGCGGUAAUAC
rnacentral:rRNA from 1 species